CACUGCAGUUUCCCUCCCUAAAGGCACCAGAUUUCAAUCUGAUCUUGGAAGCUAAGUGGGGUCAGUCCUGAUUAGUACUUGAAUGGGAGCUAUCCAGUGAAUAGAACAUGCUGUCGGCU
rnacentral:rRNA from 11 species